ACUUCACAGAGGAAGAUGAAGUUGGCGGUGCUCAGCAUGGCCCUGCUCUUCACCAUCCUGCUCUGCACCCCAGCAGAUGCUCAGCCACUAUUUGAAGCCAGUGGAGGAUACUGUGUUGGAGGGGAAAUGGAAAUGGGGCGAGUGAAGAGGGCUGAGCCCCCUCUGGUGGAUCUUGUGCGCCGCAGACGCAUGGCUGCAGCUGCUGAUGCCUAGGGGAGCAGCACCAGGAGCCCCAGCAAGGAUCCUGGAGCCACCCAGAACUGGUGGUGCCACCCUUGUCCUGUCCCCCUCCAGCGGCAUGAGGAGAUCAUCAUCCCUGGAUGAACCCAGCCCAUUCCUGGGAGCCCUAUGCCCUUUCCCUCUCCUGAUCAAUA